AACGAGACCUUAACCUGCUAAAUAGCCAGGCCAGCUUUGGCUGGUCGCCGGCUUCUUAGAGGGACUAUCGGCUCAAGCCGAUGGAAGUUUGAGGCAAUAACAGGUUGACCUACACAGGCCUGUAAAAGUAAGGGCCUCUUGAAAUAUUACUUGCUAGUCCAGCGUCUUGAUCUCUGUUGGGGAAGCCUCCUUCUGUCGGGCAGAGACAUGCCUAGUAGUGCAUGUGGCGUGGGCAACACCACCUGGUAC
rnacentral:rRNA from 1 species